UGGGGAAUAUUGCACAAUGGGCGAAAGCCUGAUGCAGCAACGCCGCGUGAGUGAUGAAGGCCUUCGGGUUGUAAAGCUCUGUCUUUUGGGACGAUAAUGACGGCACCAAAGGAGGAAGCCACGGCUAACUACGUGCCAGCAGCCGCGGUAAUACGUAGGUGGCAAGCGUUGUCCGGAUUUACUGGGCGUAAAGGAUGCGUAGGCGGAUUUUUAAGUGAGAUGUGAAAACCCUAAGCUUAACUUGGGGACUGCAUUUCAUACUGGAAAUCUAGAGUGCGGGAGAGGAGAAUGGAAUUCCUAGUGUAGCGGUGAAAUGCGUAGAGAUUAGGAAGAACACCAGUGGCGAAGGCGAUUCUCUGGACCGUAACUGACGCUGAGGCAUGAAAGCGUGGGUAGCAAACAGGAUUAGAUACCCUGGUAGUCCACGCCGUAAACGAUGAGUACUAGGUGUAGGAGGUAUCGACCCCUUCUGUGCCGCAGUUAACACAAUAAGUACUCCGCCUGGGAAGUACGAUCGCAAGAUUAAAAACUCAAAGGAAUUGACGGGGUCAUAGCUGUUUUCCU
rnacentral:rRNA from 1 species